CGGACGGGUGAGUAACACGUGGGUAACCUGCCCUUAAGUGGGGGAUAACAUUUGGAAACAGAUGCUAAUACCGCAUAGAUCCAAGAACCGCAUGGUUCUUGGCUGAAAGAUGGCGUAAGCUAUCGCUUUUGGAUGGACCCGCGGCGUAUUAGCUAGUUGGUGAGGUAAUGGCUCACCAAGGCGAUGAUACGUAGCCGAACUGAGAGGUUGAUCGGCCACAUUGGGACUGAGACACGGCCCAAACUCCUACGGGAGGCAGCAGUAGGGAAUCUUCCACAAUGGACGCAAGUCUGAUGGAGCAACGCCGCGUGAGUGAAGAAGGCUUUCGGGUCGUAAAACUCUGUUGUUGGAGAAGAAUGGUCGGCAGAGUAACUGUUGUCGGCGUGACGGUAUCCAACCAGAAAGCCACGGCUAACUACGUGCCAGCAGCCGCGGUAAUACGUAGGUGGCAAGCGUUAUUCGGAUUUAUUGGGCGUAAAGCGAGCGCAGGCGGUUUUUUAAGUCUGAUGUGAAAGCCCUCGGCUUAACCGAGGAAGCGCAUCGGAAACUGGGAAACUUGAGUGCAGAAGAGGACAGUGGAACUCCAUGUGUAGCGGUGAAAUGCGUAGAUAUAUGGAAGAACACCAGUGGCGAAGGCGGCUGUCUGGUCUGUAACUGACGCUGAGGCUCGAAAGCAUGGGUAGCGAACAGGAUUAGAUACCCUGGUAG
rnacentral:rRNA from 1 species